rnacentral:rRNA from 1 species
UUCGGAUCUAGUGGCGGACGGGUGAGUAACGCGUGAGAAUCUGGCUUCAGGUUCGGGAUAACAGUUGGAAACGACUGCUAAUACCGGAUAAGCCUUGUGGUGAAAGAUAAAUUGCCUGAAGAUGAGCUCGCGUCCGAUUAGCUAGUUGGUGUGGUAAAGGCGCACCAAGGCGGCGAUCGGUAGCUGGUCUGAGAGGACGACCAGCCACACUGGGACUGAGACACGGCCCAGACUCCUACGGGAGGCAGCAGUGGGGAAUUUUCCGCAAUGGGCGAAAGCCUGACGGAGCAAUACCGCGUGAGGGAGGAAGGCUCUUGGGUUGUAAACCUCUUUUCUCAGGGAAUAAGUACUGAAGGUACCUGAGGAAUCAGCAUCGGCUAACUCCGUGCCAGCAGCCGCGGUAAUACGGAGGAUGCAAGCGUUAUCCGGAAUGAUUGGGCGUAAAGCGUUCGUAGGUGGCUCAUCAAGUCGGCGGUCAAAGAGUCUGGCUUAACCAGAUAAAGGCAGUGGAAACUGAAGAGCUAGAGAAUGGUAGGGGUAGAGGGAAUUCCUGGUGUAGCGGUGAAAUGCGUAGAGAUCAGGAAGAACACCGGUGGCGAAAGCGCUCUGCUGGACCAUAACUGACACUGAGGGACGAAAGCUAGGGGAGCGAAUGGGAUUAGAUACCCCAGUAGUCCUAGCCGUAAACGAUGGAUACUAGGCGUUGCCCGUAUCGACCCGGGCAGUGUCGUAGCCAACGCGUUAAGUAUCCCGCCUGGGGAGUACGCACGCAAGUGUG